rnacentral:lncRNA from 1 species
UUGUUAGGUCCUAUGUGUUGGCAAGUUUCGUGGGUCGAGUCGGAGUCUUGAAGAAGUCCGGAGCGGAAUAUUGAAGAUCGAAGAAUUCAAGACUACGAAGAAUCGGAAAGGACGCAAAACACGUAAAACAUGAAUCACGAUGUUUAGGUAAGCUUUAAAUCUUGUUUAUGGUGAUUCAUACUUAAUUAUAGAUCUUAGAAUCAUGUUUUCAAGUUGUAAGUGGUUAGAAAGUUUCUAAGAGCUUGUAAAACUCAAAACAAUGCAUUUUCAGCAAAAAUUGCAUUGUUGUACCGGUACAAGGGUUUUCUGUCCAGGG